rnacentral:rRNA from 1 species
AACGCGAAGAACCUUACCUACCCUUGACAUCCAGAGAAUCCUGCAGAGAUGCGGGAGUGCCGAAAGGAACUCUGAGACAGGUGCUGCAUGGCUGUCGUCAGCUCGUGUUGUGAGAUGUUGGGUUAAGUCCCGUAACGAGCGCAACCCUUAUCCUUAGUUGCCAACAUGUAAUGGUGGGGACUCUAAGGAGACUGCUGGUGAAGAACCGGAGGAAGGCGGGGACGACGUCAAGUCAUCAUGGCCUUUAUGGGUAGGGCUACACACGUGCUACAAUGGGGCGUACAGAGGGAAGCGAAACUGCGAAGUGGAGCGAAUCCUAAAAAGCGUCUCGUAGUCCGGAUCGGAGUCUGCAACUCGACUCCGUGAAGUCGGAAUCGCUAGUAAUCGCGAAUCAGAAUGUCGCGGUGAAUACGUUCCCGGGCCUUGUACACACCGAGUAUA